AUUUACAAAGCAAGUGGUCCCUUAACAAUCUGUAACACUGUUGCCAGCCCAAGGAUUAUGCCACUUGGCUAUCUAGUUUAUACAGACAGAUGAGGCAGCUGAAAAAAAUGUUUGAGAUAAGAGUAAAGAUAACCAGGGAAGGAGAAAACAUAAUUAAAUGCUUUUUGGGAAAAGUUCCAACAACACAGAGCAGAACACUAACAUCCACUGCAGUAUUUCUGCAGCAGAAAUGGGUAUGACGCUUUUCACCGACUGAUUUGUGAGCAAUGUAUUAGAUUUACUGGAAACAAAGGAGACAUCAUUGUGUUAACAAGGGAGAGGGGAACCAUCAUAUUGAGGAGAGAAAAAGAACAGAAUACUGAGAGUACAGAGCAUCUAGAUUAUGAGAAUCUUUAGAAACUACAUCAAUGAGCCGUAGCAAAUGUUACAAAGCCCAAAGAGAGGCCAUGCAGGGUCUGUUUCUUCAGACUGGUGAAGAGGACAAAUAUGCACUCUCUAGGCGGUGUGACCUGUGAGGAAGAUUUUUGCAAUUUAGAUUCCAGUUUUAAUUCUCCAGAAUAUUUUUGGAAAAAUAUCAAAUGCCUUCAUGACCCUAAGGACAGGGCUCAUAACAAUGAAACUUACCCUAGCUAGAAAGUAAUACACAGGAUAUCCAGAAAAACAACCUAGAUUUCUAUCCACCAAAACUUGCUCAUACUUCCUACAGCAGAAGUUUGCCUCUUUUCAAAGUUCUUAUGCCAAGCUACUGCCUUGCACUUCUUCAUAAAGCAAAACGGAGACCAUAGUCUCAGUACACAGUGAGUUUAUAAUCUAGUUUAAAUUGCACAUCAUAAGAGUAGAAUUUUAAAUACCAUGAAACACCAUCCUUUUCCUGCCUUACAAAAGGUAGUCCAGAUAUGAACCACCGCAAGGACAACCUCUGAAGACAGACAGAUGGCUGCUGGCACUGCUGAAUGCUCUACCUUCUCCAGUAAGGUAGUGGAUUUGCUGGAAAGUUUUGCUGCUAUAAAUUUUAUUGACUUUCAGUUUCUGAUAACACUAAGUGAAAGCACACUGAAUUGUGGCAUUGUUCCAUGAAAGCCUAUUUUAUUCUGACAGCCAAACCCUUCAGUUUGCUGAGUCACAGAAAACUUGCACCAAUGAAUCUGUGUAAAUGAAAAGCACCUUUUGUCAAUGACCAAAUUGCGAUGUCACUUCGACCUGACUUCAGUUUUUUCUCUGUCCCUCCUAAAGGGAAUGUUAACAGAAUACAGCUUAGAGAGAAAAAUAUUCGUUCUGCAUGUGCAGGUGUUAGAAAACCCUCUAGUUUGCACAGUAUGUAACUAUUCCUCAAUUUCUCUAGUGACUAUGAUGAGACAAAUAAAACAGGCACAGGAAUAAUAUCAUUUAAUUCCAUUGGUUCGUGUUGCACUGUCACAGAUCACACUGCUUCUCUGUCAGUAUGUUUUGGUGAUAUGAAGAAAAUGUAGAAUACAGCUCUUUUUAAAGUCUGGUUCCCUUUCUGCUUGCAGCACUUUGAUAUACUUAUGACAGAGGGUGACCCUUAUUAUAUUCUCCAGUAGGAAUAGUGUCCUGAGAUUUCCCAGAGCCCAGGAUACAAUGCUUAAUACACAGGCAAAUUGCAGAAAGGUCAGUAUGCUCAAUGCACAUCAGUAGCAUUUCUGCUGCUGCUAUCUUUGCCAAGAUUCUAGCAAAUUCAAAUAAGAAAAUGAAAUUUGAUGAGUGUUUAUCUGCAGUUCUAGCUCAGCAUCCUGAAAAAUAGUCAUCAUUGCUGACUUUUAUUUAUCCAUUUGUGUGGGACAGUCCAUAUUAGUUUAAACAGGCUUGCAUCUGAGUGUUUCCACAUAUGCAGAUUUGCCCCAUACAUCUUUUAAGCCAGCUAGAAACUACAACUAGGACUAUGCUGAUUUUAGAAUUACUUUUACAUUUGUGCAAAUCGAGGUUUUACUGAGUCUGACUCCUCACCUUCAUCCCAGCCAGAGCUAAACACAGCGUAAAAACUGCCUUAGGAUUCCAGCAUAAAUAGAGCUCAGAGCUUUAUGCCUGAGUCCUAAAAAGCUUCUCUGGUAACCUGCUACAAAUUCGAGCUUUGCACUUCUUCUUUUGUCUCUGGAGGUCAAACUCUCAUUACCUCACCGUGUUACCACUGACCUAGCCUUCCAUCUCAGAGCUCAUUUCACAAGAACACUGGAUUACACCAUCUCUCCUUUUUGUUUAGUAGACCUUAGUAAUUACUCUCAAAUAUUAGGUGACUCUAUAAAUCUACAUAAACAAUCUCUAAUGCUAUGCAAAGUCUGUUUACUUUCACCAGAAAAUGUAACCUUAAUUUGGAAGGAAAUGCACAGCCAAGAGUACCAGCCUUUCAGAUUUGCCUAUCAUGCAGAAAACUGUCUUUUAUUCAGACAGAAGCAGUGCCAAGAGAACUUCAAACACAUGAAAGUGCUCAAAGCUUGACAAGGAUCAGAGGGUUUCUUUGAGUGUGUAAGAAAAUUAACUUAUCUUUCUUGUAUAGGGUUAGACUGAUAUUUUAGAGAUGAGAAAGUGUGUGCUGUGCAUGUGAACUGUCUCAUUACUCUGGAUGCUACAUUUCCAUUUAUAUUAUAGCAUCAGAACAGAUUACUGACUAACUUAAAAAUAAUAUUCAGAAAGGUUUUAUGAGGUAAGAGUAUUAUGAUCUGAUAGCAAACUGUUUUUUUUCUGGUUUGUUUUCUGUCUACAUCAUACUAAGCAUCUAACAAGACUAGAGUGUAAGUGGGAGCAGCUGGUAACAGCUGCAGAUGUAAUCCAAUAGUAGCAGUGGUGAACUGCAUAAUCAAAUGAGAGAAAGAGGUGAUGAAGCCCUUGCCUGCCUCUGGAAGUGGGAGUCUGCCUGUGCACACUUACUCAUAUAACCAAACUUUGUAGAAAAGGUUUCAUUCAGCUUCAUCAGCUCUGGCUAUCACCAGGCUAGCAGAAACUGUCCUGGCAGAAAAGACUCUCUUUACCUAGAACACAAAGCCACUUCCUCAGAGAAGUGCAGACAGACACAGGAACUGGCAGACACUAAAGACUACACAUGAAUGAACUCCGGGACAAUUGUCACAGCUUGCUGGACAUGAGGAGGAGAUUUCAGCUGGGAGCUUGUCCUGGAAUGGACACCCUGGCACACUUUUCCAGUGAGCGCGUUGCACAAAAAGUGGAACAGACACAGGCAAAAAGCAAAGAGGUUAAAACAUCUGGAUCCUCACAGAUUAUAAGUGGUAUCUGCAGUUUCACCAGAAGCUAUCAGACAGCAACGUGCAGACUGGGGCUAAAGCUGUAAGCCGGUCAGACUGCAGCAUUCACAAAGCGACUCAUCUGCAGCAGAGAUAUCACGGGGAUUCAAAGGCAAAUCACUCUGCACUCUGCCAAGGGCUGUCCUGCUGUCUGUCAAAGGCCAGCCACUGGAGGCAGUUCCAGUGAAGUCUUUUGCCUAGUGAGGAUACAAAAGAUUCCGAGCACUGCACUCAGCUCUCAGCGGGAUCCUCGUAGAGACCACCUAGAAGGGCCUAACUUUGGAGUCAGUCUGGUGACAGGAGUUGACUGCACUGCGCUUACAUUCAUGUCUCCCUAGGCUUGGCAGAGUAGAAAUAUUCUUUCGUUGGAAGGGUUUUGUGGACUACAAUUAAGGAAGCCUCCAAAAUACAAUAGAAACCAUGAAGAGAGGGGUAAGUAAAAACUAUCCACUCCAGAGAAAAGAUAUAUUCAGCAAACAGUGUUGUCUAUAAUGUGAUUUUUUAUUGUUCUGAAAAGUUAUGUUUUCUUUCAGAAGGCAUGGGUGUGGGAAGGGGAAAUCACAUGGUCAUUAUAAACAUUUGGACCUGAUACAAUACUUGCAUGUUGUUUCCUCUGGGAACAUAAUAGAAUAAAGUUUCAUUAAAUAAGAUGAACACAGGAAAUAUCCAGCAAGAAAAAUCCUUGUCUCUCAGGUGUAUAUAAAAGCAUGGAUAGGUGAACUUCUGUGCCUGUCUCUCUCAACUACUGUCAAAAAGAUCCUACCAAUUGUUUUACCUGAUUCUUUGCAGAGGUAACAUGAUUAGCAAGUAGCAAGAAGUAUCACUGCAGAGAUAAUAAGAGUAGCAAGACCAGAGUGUGACGUUUUAGGAGUUUUAUAUUUUUUACACUAAAAUAAAUUAAAAUACUAAAAGUAUGAAUAUAAUAAUCUAAGGACACCAUCAGCCUGAAAGGUCUUUGUUUAUGACCAUACUCACAUAUAAAAAAAUUGUUGUCUCCAACAACAGCUUUUCCAGUGAUUUAUCUCUUUCAAUCUCAGUGAAACCUGGCCUGCACCUUGUAUGUACAAAAAAUAUUUACCUAGUCUGCAGAGAGUUUUAAAAUAUGUGAGCUAGUUGGUUCUUGGAAGCCUCAUUUUUUUCCCUUCCCUAUAAAUGCUUGGGAACAUUAUGCACUUUACAAACAUUAUGCCAAAAACAAACAAAGGAAACUAGGGGGGGAAAGCACUUUUUAGAAUGGAGAGGAGAAAAACUGCAGUUGUUCUAAAGUCCUUUCUAUUUCUUUUAAAUAAUAGUUAUACUAUCAAAUAAUUUUCUCACUUGUAAUGCUUAAAUACUCUUCAAUGUACACAUAUGUGAAGUGUAUUCUGGACUGCAGCAUUUUCCAACAGUUGCAUGAAUUAGCUUUCAGAUGUGAUUAAGCUGUUCUCUGGACUCCAGAAAUAAACUCCUCAAGCAAAAUUACAUAUCUUUCAUCAAACAAUAAAUAGCAAGAGUGGAAGCACUUCCUUCUUACAGAGCUGCAAAUACUUUCAACAACUACUUGUCAUCAAUACAUGGGCUAUAUAUAUCAUGCAAAGAGAAACCAAUUACUCAUGUUAUCAUCAGUUUAUGUGGUGAAGAGAAAGCUGUGUGCCUCUGUAGUUGUGACGAAUUAAAUUACCUUAAAUUGUCUACUUGCUUGAAAUGCACAGCUACAUCUCCCACUGAAUGCCUUAUGUGAUAGCUUGAACAUUUGCAUCUGUGAGCUUGUUGGACAUGGCUCACACCAGCCAGAUUUAUCUAAGAUGACUCCUCAUGAUGAAUGGGGGAAAGAGUAUCUUGGAGUGUACUGCCC